GUGAAUCAUCAAAUUUUUGAACGCACAUUGCACUCCCUGGUAUUCCGGGGAGUACGUUCGUUCGAGCGUCAUGUAAAUUCUCGGAUGUCCGUAUCGCGCGGUUCAUUCCGGCCUUGGGCGCCUCCCUGUUCGCCGACUCCGGCGGGUCAGGUCGCCUGAAAUUAAACAGCGACGGUUCGCGAAUCCGCGACCUGCCACGGCGUAUUACGUUAGGCCUGCACGACAAACCUUCGCCUAUUUUGCCAACGCAUCCCCGACGUCGCUAUCUCC
rnacentral:misc_RNA from 1 species